rnacentral:rRNA from 1 species
AUUGAACGCUGGCGGCGUGCCUAAUACAUGCAAGUCGAACGAAGCGGCGCACGGGUGGGUAAUAUAUAGUUAAUCUGCCCUACACAGAGGAACAACAGCUGGAAACGACUGCUAAUACCUCAUAGUGCAGGAUGAGACUAUAUCGUAUCAGCUAGUUGGUAAGGUAAUGGCUGACCAAGGCGAUGACGCGUAACUGGUCUGAGAGGAUGAUCAGUCACCUUGUAACUGAGACACGGUCCAAACUCCUACGGCAGGCAGCAGUAAGGAAUAUUGCGCAAUGCGGGAAACCCUGACGCAGCAACGCGGUGUGGAGUAUGAUCCUUUUCGGAGCGUAAACUCCUUUUAUCAGGAAAGCGGUACCUGAUGAAUAAGCACCGGCUAACUCCGUGCCAGCAGCCGCGGUAAUAC